AUACGGAGGGUGCAAGCGUUAAUCGGAAUUACUGGGCGUAAAGCGCGCGUAGGCGGCUUGAUAAGUCGGAUGUGAAAUCCCCGGGCUUAACCUGGGAAUUGCAUUCGAUACUGUCAGGCUAGAGUGUGGUAGAGGGAGGUGGAAUUUCCGGUGUAGCGGUGAAAUGCGUAGAUAUCGGAAAGAACAUCAGUGGCGAAGGCGGCUUCCUGGAUCAACACUGACGCUGAGGUGCGAAAGCGUGGGGAGCAAACAGGAUUAGAAACCCCGGUAGUCC
rnacentral:rRNA from 1 species